UGUUUACCCAUGGGUAAGAAAAUGGACGAUCUGCGAUCUGUCAGAUCCGCACCGAAAAUCAAAAUUACCUACUGAUGAGUGAUGAUCAGAACUUGUUCCUGUUUUUACAGGAGAACUGCGCUUCGAUUUUACCAUAGUUAUGUUAUGGUACUCUUAGACCGUCUAAGACAGACUCUGCUAUAACGUGCGUUUUCUCAACAAGCAAUUGGCAGUUUGGGCUGUGUAGAUCGAGAUUGAACGUUCUAUUUUGAUUGGUUCAAUGGAAUCAUCAAAUUGAACUGCUUUUGAUUUCAUACUCGUCCUCUGUGCAGGCGACACAUACCACUAUGAAGUCAAAAGUGUACGGGCAAUAAAUGUUAUGUUGUCUGGA